rnacentral:rRNA from 1 species
AACGAACGCUGGCGGCAGGCUUAACACAUGCAAGUCGAGCGCCCCGCAAGGGGAGCGGCAGACGGGUGAGUAACGCGUGGGAACGUACCCUUUGCUACGGAAUAGCUCCGGGAAACUGGAAUUAAUACCGUAUGUGCCCUACGGGGGAAAGAUUUAUCGGCAAAGGAUCGGCCCGCGUUGGAUUAGCUAGUUGGUGGGGUAAUGGCCUACCAAGGCGACGAUCCAUAGCUGGUCUGAGAGGAUGAUCAGCCACAUUGGGACGGAGACACGGCCCAACCUCCUACGGGAGGCAGCAGUGGGGAAUAUUGGACGAUGGGCGCAAGCCUGAUCCAGCCAUGCCGCGUGAGUGAUGAAGGCCUUAGGGUUGUAAGGCUCUUUCACCGGAGAAGAUAAUGACGGUAUCCGGGGAAGAAGCCCCGGCUAACUUCGUGCCAGCCGCCGCCGUAACAC